rnacentral:rRNA from 1 species
CAGCGCGCGACUGGUUGUGCGCGUCCAAGCAGUUAGGCGCCUCAAGUAGGCAAAUCCGCUUGAGUAGGCUGAGCUGUGAUGGCGAGGGAAAUAUAGUACCGAAGUGCCUGAUUCCACACUGCCAAGAAAAGCCUCUAGCGAGGUGAGAGGUGCCCGUACCGCAAACCGACACAGGUAGGCGAGGAGAGAAUCCUAAGGUGCGCGGGAGAACUCUCGUUAAGGAACUCGGCAAAAUGACCCCGUAACUUCGGGAGAAGGGGUGCUCCCUCGGGUGAAUAGCCCAGGGGAGCCGCAGUGAAAAGGCCCAAGCGACUGUUUAUCAAAACACAGGUCUCUGCGAAGCCGCAAGGCGAAGUAUAGGGGCUGACACCUGCCCGGUGCUGGAAGGUUAAGGGGAGCGCUUAGCGCAAGCGAAGGUGCGAACCGAAGCCCCAGUAAACGGCGGCCGUAACUAUAACGGUCCUAAGGUAGCGAAAUUCCUUGUCGGGUAAGUUCCGACCCGCACGAAAGGUGUAACGACUUGGGCACUGUCUCAACGAGAGACCCGGUGAAAUCAUAGUACCUGUGAAGAUGCAGGUUACCCGCGACAGGACGGAAAGACCCCGUGGAGCUUUACUGCAGCCUGAUAUUGAAUGUUGGUGCGACAUGUACAGCAUAGGUGGGAGACUGAGAAGCCUGGACGCCAGUCUAGGUGGAGUCGCCGUUGGGAUACCACCCUUGUCGUACUGAGAUUCUAACCCGCACCCCUGAUCGGGGUGGGAGACAGUGUCAGGUGGGCAGUUUGACUGGGGCGGUCGCCUCCCAAAGCGUAACGGAGGCGCCCAAAGGUUCCCUCAGAAUGGUUGGAAAUCAUUCGUAGAGUGUAAAGGCAGAAGGGAGCUUGACUGCGAGACCUACAAGUCGAGCAGGGACGAAGUCGGGCUUAGUGAUCCGGUGGUUCCGAAUGGAAGGGCCAUCGCUCAACGGAUAAAAGCUACCCCGGGGAUAACAGGCUUAUCUCCCCCAAGAGUCCACAUCGACGGGGAGGUUUGGCACCUCGAUGUCGGCUCAUCGCAUCCUGGGGCUGUAGUCGGUCCCAAGGGUUGGGCUGUUCGCCCAUUAAAGCGGUACGCGAGCUGGGUUCAGAACGUCGUGAGACAGUUCGGUCCCUAUCCGUCGCGGGCGUAGGAAAUUUGAGAGGAGCUGUCCUUAGUACGAGAGGACCGGGAUGGACGCACCGCUGGUGUACCAGUUGUUCCGCCAGGAGCACAGCUGGGUAGCUAUGUGCGGAAGGGAUAAGCGCUGAAAGCAUCUAAGCGUGAAGCCCCCCUCAAGAUGAGAUUUCCCAUCGUGUCAAGCGAGUAAGAUCCCUUGAAGAUGACAAGGUAGAUAGGUCCGAGGUGGAAGCGUGGCGACACGUGCAGCUGACGGAUACUAAUCGAUCGAGGACUUAACUAAG